GACGAACGCUGGCGGCGUGCCUAAUACAUGCAAGUUGAGCGCUGAAGGUUGGUACUUGUACCAACUGGAUGAGCAGCGAACGGGUGAGUAACGCGUGGGGAAUCUGCCUUUGAGCGGGGGACAACAUUUGGAAACGAAUGCUAAUACCGCAUAAAAACUUUAAACACAAGUUUUAAGUUUGAAAGAUGCAAUUGCAUCACUCAAAGAUGAUCCCGCGUUGUAUUAGCUAGUUGGUGAGGUAAAGGCUCACCAAGGCGAUGAUACAUAGCCGACCUGAGAGGGGGAUCGGCCACAUUGGGACUGAGACACGGCCCAAACUCCUACGGGAGGCAGCAGUAGGGAAUCUUCGGCAAUGGACGAAAGUCUGACCGAGCAACGCCGCGUGAGUGAAGAAGGUUUUCGGAUCGUAAAACUCGGUUGGUAGAGAAGAACGUUGGUGAGAGUGGAAAGCUCAUCAAGUGACGGUAACUACACAGAAAGGGACGGCUAACUACGUG
rnacentral:rRNA from 1 species